GCCGCGCUAGCUCAGUGGUAGAGCAAUGGUUUUGUAAACCAUAGGUCCGCAGUUCGAUCCUGUGGCGCGGCACCA
rnacentral:tRNA from 1 species